rnacentral:rRNA from 1 species
ACCUGGUUGAUUCUGCCAGUAGUCAUAUGCUUGUCUCAAAGAUUAAGCCAUGCAUGUCUAAGUAUAAGCAAUUAUACCGUGAAACUGCGAAUGGCUCAUUAAAUCAGUUAUCGUUUAUUUGAUAAUACCUUACUACUUGGAUAACCGUGGUAAUUCUAGAGCUAAUACAUGCUGAAAAUCCCGACUUCGGAAGGGAUGUGUUUAUUAGAUAAAAAACCAAUGCCCUUCGGGGCUCCUUGGUGAUUCAUAAUAACUUUACGGAUCGCAUAGCCUUGCGCUGGCGACGGUUCAUUCAAAUUUCUGCCCUAUCAACUUUCGAUGGUAAGGUAUUGGCUUACCAUGGUUUCAACGGGUAACGGGGAAUUAGGGUUCGAUUCCGGAGAGGGAGCCUGAGAAACGGCUACCACAUCCAAGGAAGGCAGCAGGCGCGCAAAUUACCCAAUCCCGAUUCGGGGAGGUAGUGACAAUAAAUACUGAUACAGGGCUCUUUUGGGUCUUGUAAUUGGAAUGAGUACAAUUUAAACCUCUUAACGAGGAACAAUUGGAGGGCAAGUCUGGUGCCAGCAGCCGCGGUAAUUCCAGCUCCAAUAGCGUAUAUUAAAGUUGUUGCAGUUAAAAAGCUCGUAGUUGAAACUUGGGUCUGGCUGGCGGGUCCGCCUCACCGCGUGCACUCGUCCGGCCGGGCCUUCCUUCUGAAGAACCUCAUGCCCUUUACUGGGCGUGUUGGGGAAUCAGGACUUUUACUUUGAAAAAAUUAGAGUGUUCAAAGCAGGCCUUUGCUCGAAUACGUUAGCAUGGAAUAAUAAAAUAGGGCGUGCGUUUCUAUUUUGUUGGUUUCUAGAGACGCCGCAAUGAUUAACAGGAACAGUCGGGGGCAUCAGUAUUCAGUUGUCAGAGGUGAAAUUCUUGGAUUUACUGAAGACUAACUACUGCGAAAGCAUUUGCCAAGGAUGUUUUCAUUAAUCAGUGAACGAAAGUUAGGGGAUCGAAGACGAUCAGAUACCGUCGUAGUCUUAACCGUAAACUAUGCCGACUAGGGAUCGGGCGAUGUUCUUUUUCUGACUCGCUCGGCACCUUACGAGAAAUCAAAGUUUUUGGGUUCUGGGGGGAUUAUGGUCGCAAGGCUGAAACUUAAAGAAAUUGACGGAAGGUCACCACCAGGCGUGGAGCCUGCGGCUUAAUUUGACUCAACACGGGGAAACUCACCAGGUUCAGAUGAAAUAAGGAUUGACAGAUUGAGAGCUCUUUCUUGAUUUUUCAGGUGGUGGUGCAUGGCCGUUCUUAGUUCGUGGGGUGACUUGUCUGCUUAAUUGCGAUAACGAGCGAGACCUUACUCUGCUAAAUAGCCAGGCUAGCUUUGGCUGGUCGCCGGCUUCUUAGAGAGACUAUCAACUCAAGUUGAUGGAAGUUUGAGGCAAUAACAGGUCUGUGAUGCCCUUAGAUAUUCUGGGCCGCACGCGCGCUACACUGACAGAGCCAACGAGUUCUUUCCCUUGGCCGAAAGGUCUGGGUAAUCUUGUUAAACUCUGUCGUGCUGGGGAUAAAGCAUUGCAAUUAUUGCUUUUCAACGAGGAAUGCCUAGUAAGCGCGUGUCAUCAGCAUGCGUUGAUUACGUCCCUGACCUUUGUACACACCGCCCGUCGCUACUACCGAUUGAAUGGCUCAGUGAGGCCUUCGGACUGGCUCGGGGGGGUUGGCAACGACCACCCCAAGCCGGAAAGUUGGUCAAACUCGGUCAUUUAGAGGAAGUAAAAGUCGUAACAAGGUCUCCGUAGGUGAACCUGCGGAGGGAUCAUUA